rnacentral:rRNA from 1 species
GACGAACGCUGGCGGCGUGCUUAACACAUGCAAGUCGAACGGAAAGGCCCUGCUUUUGUCGGGUGCUCGAGUGGCGAACGGGUGAGUAACACGUGAGUAACUUGCCCUUGACGUUGGGAUAACCUCCGGAAACUGGGUCAAAUACCGGAUAGGAGUUCCUGCUACAUGGUGGGGGUUGGAAAGUUUCGGCGGUCGGGGAUGGACUCGCGGCUUAUCCGCUUGUCGGUGGGGCAGUAGCUUACCAAGGCUUUGACGGAUCGCCGGCCUGAGAGGGUGAACGGCGACCAUCGGACUAAGGUAGGACCAAGACUGCAACGGGAGGCAACGGUGGAGAGUAUUACACAAUGGGGGGGAGGCUGAUGCGGCGGCGCCGGGGGCGGGAAGCCGGCCUUCGGGUUGUAAACCGCUUUCGCCUAUGACGGGGGGUGAGUGACGGUAAUGGGUGAAGAAGCACCGGCUAACUACGUG